AUGGUAGAGGAUGUCAUGGCGAGAGGAGUCAGCAGUGAAGCCUGGAGGGGAAUGAAGACCUCUUUGGCCUGGGUCUCCUUGAAAUCGAGGUUCUGGAGGAACCAGACUAUCAGAAGGUUCCACCCAUGGCCAAACUGUUUUGGAGUUGGAAGAGACUCAUCAAGAAAAUCAACUCAGAAUUUGCCAGGAGAGGUGAUUUCCUGGCCACCUCUUCUUAUUAAAUCAUAAAAUCAUGGGCAUGAACUUGGAAAUCAUCUAGUCCAAAUAUUUCAUUUUACAGACGGAGGCACUGGGAGAUGAAGAGAUUUACUUGUCCGAGGAAGAAAAAUUAGAAAUCGGCAGAGGUGAGACUAGAAGUCCUAGUUAGUUCUUUAAGAACUAACCUUUUCUGUGUUUUGUGACACUUGGAAAAAACUUCUGAGGUCUGAUUAUUCAGAAUGUACAUGCAUUUGUGUACCUAAUCCAUGCACUUCUACCUAUUGUCUGAUUCUGACUGCGUCUAAGUAAACACCAGACAUCCAGAAGAAAAGUGAAAAAUCCAAUAAAUUUUGUGGAUCUUCAAUCUAU
rnacentral:lncRNA from 1 species